rnacentral:tRNA from 1 species
GCCUUCGUGGUGUAGUGGUCAGCACGCUCGGCGCGUAUUCGAGAGGUCCAUGGUUCGAGUCCCGGCGAGGCCA